rnacentral:rRNA from 1 species
CCUACGGGGGCAGCAGUGGGGAAUAUUGGACAAUGGGCGAAAGCCUGAUCCAGCCAUGCCGCGUGUGUGAAGAAGGCCUUCGGGUUGUAAAGCACUUUCAGUGGGGAAGAAAGCCUUGGGGCUAAUACCCUCGAGGAAGGACAUCACCCACAGAAGAAGCACCGGCUAACUCCGUGCCAGCAGCCGCGGUAAUACGGAGGGUGCGAGCGUUAAUCGGAAUUACUGGGCGUAAAGCGCGCGUAGGCGGUCUGAUAAGCCGGUUGUGAAAGCCCCGGGCUCAACCUGGGAACGGCAUCCGGAACUGUCAGGCUAGAGUGCAGGAGAGGAAGGUAGAAUUCCCGGUGUAGCGGUGAAAUGCGUAGAGAUCGGGAGGAAUACCAGUGGCGAAGGCGGCCUUCUGGACUGACACUGACGCUGAGGUGCGAAAGCGUGGGUAGCAAACAGGAUUAGAUACCCCGGUAGU